rnacentral:lncRNA from 1 species
AAGUUAUUUUAAAUCAGUUUGCCCGAUUUAAAAGCAUCAACUAUUUUUUUUUCUUCCAAAUCCCUAAUUCACUUACAAUAUUGUACAUAAAUAUAUAAUUAUAACUGAAUUGAAACUUCAUACACAUCCUUCAAAAACAAAAUAUCAGAAAAUCAAAUAUGAUACCACCAAAUUGUCAUUAAAUUCAAAUUGUCAUUAAAUUCAGUUACAAAAUAUUCAUGAAAAUCUAUUCCAAGAGUACCAUCGAAUCUUAAUAUCUCCUACUAAAACGAAACAAUCUUAGGCUCCAAACAAAAGCACAAACACGCCUAAGCAAAGCUACACAAUCUUAGGCUAGCUACUACCAAAACACGCCUAAGCAAAGCUACACAAUCUUAGGCUACUACCAAAACACGCCUAACNNNNNNNNNNNNNNNNNNNNNNNNNGCAGACACAGGAUCAAAAUCCUCCCUGUUACAAAGACAAACAAGGCUAUCAAAGAGGCCUUAAACACCACAAAACCAUCGGUGCAUCAUCAUUUCUACGUAACAGAAUACAAGUGUUAUACACUAUAUGUUCUGCACACCAAUUUGCUCAGGAUUAGGAAUAACCCUUUCACUUAAUUUCAUAAAUCAUAACAGCUUGAUAAUCAGGGUCCUAUAUGCUCCUACAAUGCUAUUGUAUAUGUAUAAUUGAUCCUAAAAUUAAACCAUCAUUCUCUUUCUAAUUCUAGUUCUAGUUAGAAUAAUUCUGAUUCCUAAUUAGAAUAACUAGUAAAAACUGUAAAACCCUAAAUUUCAACCAAGCAGUCCAGAAUCAAGUUCCAAGUUCCAAUUAAACAACAUAACCUUAAAUUAUUACAGAUUGACCAAUCAAUCCCAAAUUGAAAACAAUAUGAAAAACACGAUCAUCUCAAUAACUUAUUCAUAAACAACUAUGUAUAAAUAUAAAACAAAACUAUAUAUAAGUACAAAACAAAAACAAAACUACACAAAUUACCUAAAUCCGACUAAUAUACAACAUCUAAAACACCACCACACAAGAAACAACUACACACCACCGGCCACUGAAUGCGAACAUGGCGGUGGUAGCGGCGAAGAGAAUUUGAAGCUCACG